GACGAGCGCUGGCGGCGUGCCUAAUACAUGCAAGUAGAACGCACAGUUUAUACCGUAGCUUGCUACACCAUAGACUGUGAGUUGCGAACGGGUGAGUAACGCGUAGGUAACCUGCCUGGUAGCGGGGGAUAACUAUUGGAAACGAUAGCUAAUACCGCAUAAUAUUAAUUAUUGCAUGAUAAUUAAUUGAAAGGUGCAAUUGCACCACUACCAGAUGGACCUGCGUUGUAUUAGCUAGUAGGUGAGGUAACGGCUCACCUAGGCGACGAUACAUAGCCGACCUGGGAGGGUGAUCGGCCACACUGGGACUGAGACACGGCCCAGACUCCUACGGGAGGCAGCAGUAGGGAAUCUUCGGCAAUGGACGAAAGUCUGACCGAGCAACGCCGCGUGAGUGAAGAAGGUUUUCGGAUCGUAAAGCUCUGUUGUAAGAGAAGAACGGGUGUGAGAGUGGAAAGUUCACACUGUGACGGUAUCUUACCAGAAAGGGACGGCUAACUACGUG
rnacentral:rRNA from 1 species